UGGCGAACGGGUGAGUAACACUUGGGUAACCUGCCCAUCAGAAGGGGAUAACACUUGGAAACAGGUGCUAAUACCGUAUAACACUAUUUUCCGCAUGGAAGAAAGUUGAAAGGCGCUUCUGCGUCACUGAUGGAUGGACCCGCGGUGCAUUAGCUAGUUGGUGAGGUAACGGCUCACCAAGGCAACGAUGCAUAGCCGACCUGAGAGGGUGAUCGGCCACACUGGGAUGAGACACGGCCCAGACUCCUACGGGAGGCAGCAGUAGGGAAUCUUCGGCAAUGGACGAAAGUCUGACCGAGCAACGCCGCGUGAGUGAAGAAGGUUUUCGGAUCGUAAAACUCUGUUGUUAUGAGAAGAACAAGGAUGACGAGGUAAAA
rnacentral:rRNA from 1 species